rnacentral:rRNA from 1 species
GAUGAACGCUGGCGGCGUGCCUAAUACAUGCAAGUCGAACGAACAGACGAGGAUCUUGCUCCGCGGACGUGAGCGGCGGACGUGUGAAUAACACGUGUAUAACCUACCUAUAAGACGGGGAUAACUUCGAGAAACCGGAGCUAAUACCGGAUAAUAUCUUGAACCGCAGUGUGCGAUAGUGAGAUACGGUGGUGCUGGCACGUAUAGAGGGAUCCGCGCCGCAUUGGCUAGUAGUGAAGGUAACAGCUUACCAAGGCAACGAUGCGUAAGCGAGCUCAGAGGGUGAUCGGCCACACUGGAACUGAGCCACGGUCAAUACUCCUACGGGAGGCAGCAGUAGGGAACCUUACGCAACGGGCGAAAGCCUGACGGAGCAACGCCGCGUGAGUGAUGACGGUCUUCGGAUCGUAAAAAUCUGUUAUUAGGGAAGAACCAAUGUCUAAGUAACUAUGCCCGUCUUGACGGUACUUAAUCAGAAAGCCCCGGCUAACUACGUG